AUUGAACGCUGGCGGAAUGCUUUACACAUGCAAGUCGAACGGCAGCACGGACUUUGGUCUGGUGGCGAGUGGCGAACGGGUGAGUAAUGUAUCGGAACGUGCCCAGUCGUGGGGGAUAACGUAGUGAAAAUUACGCUAAUACCGCAUACGAUCUAUGGAUGAAAGCGGGGGAUCGCAAGACCUCGCGCGAUUGGAGCGGCCGAUAUCAGAUUAGGUAGUUGGUGGGGUAAAGGCCCACCAAGCCAACGAUCUGUAGCUGGUCUGAGAGGACGACCAGCCAUACUGGAACUGAGACACGGUCCAGACUCCUACGGGAGGCAGCAGUGGGGAAUUUUGGACAAUGGGCGAAAGCCUGAUCCAGCCAUUCCGCGUGCAGGAUGAAGGCCCUCGGGUUGUAAACUGCUUUUGUACAGAACGAAAAGGUUUCUACUAAUACUAGGAGCUCAUGACGGUACUGUAAGAAUAAGCACCGGCUAACUACGUGCCAGCCGCCGCUGUAA
rnacentral:rRNA from 1 species